CUUAUUAUGUGGCUGAGAUUAAAAUGUGUAUAUCAGACACUGUUAAUCAAUAUAACCUAUCAAAUACAAAUACUGGGGAAGAAACAGAAUUAUCUGUAAACCCCCAUAUAUUUUGGGAGUUAUUAAAAUGUACAAUAAGAGGGAAAACUAUCUCUUAUACUUCAUAUCUAAAAAAAAAAGUCAAAGGGAAGAAUCUGAACUUGAACAACAAUUAAACAUUUCACAAAAUAGAUAUGCCCUACACCCAGAUCAGGAACUAAAAACUGAAAUUCAAAACAUAGAGGAGAGCCUAAAAACAUUAAGAGAAAAAAAAUAAAUGGAAUAAUUGCAAGAGCAAAAGCAAAAUGGGAAGCAGAAGGGGAAAAAUGUACAAACUACUUUUGCAAUUUAGAAAAAA
rnacentral:lncRNA from 1 species